rnacentral:sRNA from 1 species
AUUAAAGCGUCAUAGGCACACAGAGGAGUGUGUGAAUCCUGAGUGUACAGCUUGAUGGAUUACACAGAGCGAACACACUCACGUAACACUGGAUCAUGAAGCAGAACCUCACCAGCCCCUAGAAGGCCCCUUUUGCCCCUUUCGGUGCCCUCACCCCAAGGGCAACCAUCAUCCUGAACUUUCUCAACAGCAUAGAUGAGUUUUGCCUGUUUCUGAACUUUAUAGACACGGAACCUUGUUCUUUUAUCUCUGACCUUUUGCUCAACAUUACAUUUCUGAGAUGCAUCCGUAUUGUUGCAUUUAGUUGUAGGUUGUUCAUUUUCCUUGCUGUGGAAGAUUCAGUUGUGUGGGUGUACCAUGAUUUAUGUAUCCUUUAUGUUGUUGAUGGGCACUUGAGGUGGCUUCUGGUUUGGGGCUAUUACAGACAGUGCUACUCUGAACAUUCUUGCACAAGUCUUUUGGUGGACAUACGAACGUACUUCUGUCAGGUAUUUUCCUAGAGGGAGGAUUGCUGGGUCAUAAGGAAAUAGGUAUAUUCGGCUUUAGUGGCUAUGGCCAAAUGGUUUUCCAAAAUGGUUGUGCCAAUUUAUAUUCCCUUCAGCAGGCAAACAUUUUUGCACACAUUCUAGAUGUAGUUGUACCUGUGAAAAAAAUUCCUGUCCUCAGACAUGCACUCCCAUCCCCUGGUGUGUGCAGAUCACACUUAAUUGUACGUAAAUAAUGCACGUGUGCAGACUGUGCCAGCCUUCACCUGGGCAAGUGCAGAACAGGGUGAGCCUGCACACCACAUGCCACACUCCCCAAGCCCUGUCGCUGGGCGGGGCUUAUAGGAAGGCGGGGCACUGACUUCCUGGGUCUCUGUCUUCCAGAACAUCCACCAGUGGUGUGGUUCCAACAGCAAUCGGUAUGAAAGACUGAAGGCCACACAGGUGUCCAAGGGCAUCCGGGACAACGAGCGGAGUGGCCGGGCCCGAGUGCACGUGUCUGAGGAGGGCGCUGAGCCCGAGGCGAUGCUCCAGGUGCUGGGCCCCAAGCCGGCUCUGCCUGCAGGUACCGAGGACACCGCCAAGGAGGAUGCGGCCAACCGCAAGCUGGCCAAGCUCUACAAGGUCUCCAAUGGUGCAGGGACCAUGUCCGUCUCCCUCGUGGCUGAUGAGAACCCCUUCGCCCAGGGGGCCCUGAAGUCAGAGGACUGCUUCAUCCUGGACCACGGCAAAGAUGGGAAAAUCUUUGUCUGGAAAGGCAAGCAGGCAAACACGGAGGAGAGGAAGGCUGCCCUCAAAACAGCCUCUGACUUCAUCACCAAGAUGGACUACCCCAAGCAGACUCAGGUCUCGGUCCUUCCUGAGGGCGGUGAGACCCCACUGUUCAAGCAGUUCUUCAAGAACUGGCGGGACCCAGACCAGACAGAUGGCCUGGGCUUGUCCUACCUUUCCAGCCAUAUCGCCAACGUGGAGCGGGUGCCCUUCGACGCCGCCACCCUGCACACCUCCACUGCCAUGGCCGCCCAGCACGGCAUGGAUGACGAUGGCACAGGCCAGAAACAGAUCUGGAGAAUCGAAGGUUCCAACAAGGUGCCCGUGGACCCUGCCACAUAUGGACAGUUCUAUGGAGGCGACAGCUACAUCAUUCUGUACAACUACCGCCAUGGUGGCCGCCAGGGGCAGAUAAUCUACAACUGGCAGGGUGCCCAGUCUACCCAGGAUGAGGUCGCUGCAUCUGCCAUCCUGACUGCUCAGCUGGAUGAGGAGCUGGGAGGUACCCCUGUCCAGAGCCGUGUGGUCCAAGGCAAGGAGCCCGCCCACCUCAUGAGCCUGUUUGGUGGGAAGCCCAUGAUCAUCUACAAGGGCGGCACCUCCCGCGAGGGCGGGCAGACAGCCCCUGCCAGCACCCGCCUCUUCCAGGUCCGCGCCAACAGCGCUGGAGCCACCCGGGCUGUCGAGGUAUUGCCUAAGGCUGGUGCACUGAACUCCAACGAUGCCUUUGUUCUGAAAACCCCCUCAGCUGCCUACCUGUGGGUGGGUACAGGAGCCAGCGAGGCAGAGAAGACGGGGGCCCAGGAGCUGCUCAGGGUGCUGCGGGCCCAACCUGUGCAGGUGGCAGAAGGCAGCGAGCCAGAUGGCUUCUGGGAGGCCCUGGGCGGGAAGGCUGCCUACCGCACAUCCCCACGGCUGAAGGACAAGAAGAUGGAUGCCCAUCCUCCUCGCCUCUUUGCCUGCUCCAACAAGAUUGGACGUUUUGUGAUUGAAGAGGUUCCUGGUGAGCUCAUGCAGGAAGACCUGGCAACGGAUGACGUCAUGCUUCUGGACACCUGGGACCAGGUCUUUGUCUGGGUUGGAAAGGAUUCUCAAGAAGAAGAAAAGACAGAAGCCUUGACUUCUGGUGAGGACCCGAGUGCCUGGGGGCGGGGGGGAGGGGUCCGUUGCUUGUGGGGUGGUGGGAGUGGCUCCUGUACAGGUCUGGGAAUGAGCAUCUUUCCAGGGGACUGAUGGACAAGAAAGGGUGGGGACUUCCUCCUCUGUGGGCCAGCCCCUCAUAAAUCCUGCCUGGGAUAGUGAAGAACACAUCAGUUCCUUCAGAAACCCUGAGGCUUCUCGAAGAAGCCUCUCCUCUGUUCCAGGAGAAGGAAGGGACAUGAAAAGUCACUUCAAGUUCCCAGAAUACUCAGGAGCUGAACUUGUCAAGGUUUAGAUGUGGCAAAGCAGGCCAGGCAUGGUGACUCAUGCAUGUAAUCCCAGCAUUUUGGGAGGCCAAGGCAGGAGGAUCACUUGAGUCCAGGAGUUUGAGAGCAGCCCAGGCAACAUAGUGAAACCCCAUCUCUAG